rnacentral:sRNA from 1 species
AGAUGGGGCCGUCUGGCUUCAACAUCUGCCCCUCAUUGGUUGCCAGGGUUGCUUUCCACCAAUUUGACUGGAUGGGUGUCCCCUACCCUCUCUCCCUGCUGUCUUCAUCUCUCUCAGAAGAGUAGUAAAGUGAGGCCGGGGGCACUUCCCUCUCUCAUUCUGGAACAUAAAUAGGUUGGAUUCUCCAAUUUUUCU